AUACGGAGGUUGCAAGCGUUACUCGGAAUCACUGGGCGUAAAGCGCGCGCAGGCGGCUAUUUAAGUUGGAUGUGAAAGCCUACGGCUCAACCGUAGAACUGCAUCCAAAACUAUUUAGCUAGAGUGUGGGAGAGGAAGAUGGAAUUAGUUGUGUAGGGGUAAAAUCCGUAGAGAUAACUAGGAAUACCAAAAGCGAAGGCAAUCUUCUGGAACACUACUGACGCUGAGGCGCGAAAGCGUGGGGAGCAAACAGGAGUAGAAACCCUGGUAGUCC
rnacentral:rRNA from 1 species